rnacentral:tRNA from 3 species
GGAGGAGUGGCAGAGUGGUCGAAUGCACCGGUCUUGAAAACCGGCGUGCGUGGAAGCGUACCGUGGGUUCGAAUCCCACCUCCUCCGCCA